rnacentral:rRNA from 30 species
CAAAACGACUCUCGGCAACGGAUAUCUCGGCUCUCGCAUCGAUGAAGAACGUAGCGAAAUGCGAUACUUGGUGUGAAUUGCAGAAUCCCGUGAACCAUCGAGUCUUUGAACGCAAGUUGCGCCCUAAGCCAUUUGGCCGAGGGCACGUCUGCCUGGGCGUCAAU